rnacentral:lncRNA from 1 species
AUUCAUGGUACCCAACAAAAGCUUCACCAACAAAAGCUUCAACUCCAAAGCUUCACCUACAAAACUUCAUCUCCAAAGCUUCACCAACAAAAGCUUCAUCAAAGAAGGACAACUACAAAUUCUCAAAAGCUUCACACUAUCUUGAUUAAGAUAGUGUGAAGCAAAAUCAAUUCAUGGUACCCAACAAAAGCUUAAACUCCAAAGCUUCACCUACAAAGCUUCACCUACAAAAGCUUCAACACAAA